UUGAAAUCUGGCUCUUUCAGAGUCCGAGUUGUAAUUUGCAGAGGGCGCUUUGGCGUUGGCAGCGGUCCAAGUUCUUUGGAACAGGACGUCACAGAGGGUGAGAAUCCCGUACGUGGUCGCUAGCCUUCGCCGUGUAAAGCCCCUUCGACGAGUCGAGUUGUUUGGGAAUGCAGCUCUAAAUGGGAGGUAAAUUUCUUCUAAAGCUAAAUACUGGCCAGAGACCGAUAGCGCACAAGUAGAGUGAUCGAAAGAUGAAAAGCACUUUGGAAAGAGAGUCAAAUAGCACGUGAAAUUGUUGAAAGGGAAGCGCUUGCAGCCAGACUUGCCUGUAGUUGCUUAUCUGGACUUUUGUCCGGUGCACUCUUCUGCGGGCAGGCCAGCAUCAGUUUGGGCGGUUGGAUAAAGGUCUCUGUCAUGUACCUCCUUUCGGGGAGGCCUUAUAGGGGAGACGACAUGCAACCAGCCUGGACUGAGGUCCGCGCAUCUGCUAGGAUGCUGGCGUAAUGGCUGUAAGCGGCCCGUCUUGAAACACGGACCAAGGAGUCUAACAUCUAUGCGAGUGUUUGGGUGUCAAGCCCAGACGCGUAAUGAAAGUGAACGGAGGUGGGAACCCUUUGGGUGCACCAUCGACCGAUCCUGAUGUCUUCGGAUGGAUUUGAGUAAGAGCAUGGCUGUUGGGACCCGAAAGAUGGUGAACUAUGCUUGAAUAGGGUGAAGCCAGAGGAAACUCUGGUGGAGGCUCGCAGCGGUUCUGACGUGCAAAUCGAUCGUCAAAUUUGGGCAUAGGGGCGAAAGACUAAUCGAACUAUCUAGUAGCUGGUUCCUGCCGAAGUUUCCCUCAGGAUAGCAGUAACGUAUUCAGUUUUAUGAGGUAAAGCGAAUGAUUAGAGGCAUGGGGGGUUGAAACAACCUUCACCUAUUCUCAAACUUUAAAUAUGUAAGAAGUCCUUGUUACUUGAUUGAACGUGGACACUUGAAUGUACCGUUACUAGUGGGCCAUUUUUGGUAAGCAGAACUGGCGAUGCGGGAUGAACCGAACGCGGGGUUAAGGUGCCAGAAUAUACGCUCAUCAGACACCACAAAAGGUGUUAGUUCAUCUAGACAGCAGGACGGUGGCCAUGGAAGUCGGAAUCCGCUAAGGAGUGUGUAACAACUCACCUGCCGAAUGAACUAGCCCUGAAAAUGGAUGGCGCUCAAGCGUAUUACCCAUACCCCGCCGCCGGGGCAGAAUUUAUGC
rnacentral:rRNA from 1 species